rnacentral:tRNA from 1 species
GUGGCUGUAGCUCAACUGGUUAGAGCACCGCCCUGUGAAGGCGGGGGUUGAGGGUUCGAAUCCCUUCAGUCACCCCA